GCUCGUAGUUGGAGUUCUGCCAGGUGCCGCCUGUCCGCCCCAGUGGUGAGUACGUGGCGCGCAUUUGGCCCUUUCAAGGGGAGCGUAUCUGCACUUUAUUGUGUGGUGCGGGAUCCUUGACUUUUACUUUGAGGAAAUAGGAGUGUUCCAAGCAGGCUCUCGUCGUGCACAGCUCAGCGUGGAAUAAUAGCAUUGGACCUCGAUUCUAAGCUGUUGGUUGCCAGAAGCGAGGUAAUGAUGAAGAGGGAUAGUUGGGGGCAUUCGUAUUUAACUGUCAGAGGUGAAAUUCUUGGAUUUGUUAAAGACGAACUACUGCGAAAGCAUUUGCCAAGGGUGUUUUCAUUGAUCAAGAACGAAAGUUAGGGGAUCGAAGACGCUUAGAUACCGUCGUAGUCUUAACCAUAAACUAUGCCGACUAGAGAUUGGAGGUCGUUCUUUUUAUGACUCCUUCAGCACCUUAUGAGAAAUCAAAGUCUUUGGGUUCCGGGGGGAGUAUGGUCGCAAGGCUGAAACUUAAAGGAAUUGACGGAAGGGCACCACCAGGAGUGGAGCCUGCGGCUUAAUUUGACUCAGCACGGGGAAACUUACCAGGUCCAGACAGAGUAAGGAUUGACAGAUUGAUAGCUCUUUCUUGAUUCUCUGGGUGGUGGUGCAUGGCCGUUCUUAGUUGGUGGAGUGAUUUGUCUGGUUAAUUC
rnacentral:rRNA from 1 species